rnacentral:rRNA from 2 species
GUACAAGCCAAAUUAAGGUGAAACCGCGAAAGGCUCAUUAAAUCAGUUAUGGUUCCUUAGAUCGUACCCACAUUUACUUGGAUAACUGUGGUAAUUCUAGAGCUAAUACAUGCAAACAGAGCUCCGCCCGGAGACGGAAGGAGUGCUUUUAUUAGAUCAAAACCAAUCGGUGGCGGGCUUGCUCGUCAUCGUACAUUUUGGUGACUCUGAAUAACUUUUUGCUGAUCGCACGGUCUCGCACCGGCGACGCAUCUUUCAAAUGUCUGCCUUAUCAACUGUCGAUGGUAGGUUCUGCGCCUACCAUGGUUGUAACGGGUAACGGGGAAUCAGGGUUCGAUUCCGGAGAGGGAGCCUGAGAAACGGCUACCACAUCCAAGGAAGGCAGCAGGCGCGCAAAUUACCCACUCCCGGCACGGGGAGGUAGUGACGAAAAAUAACGAUACGGGACUCAUCCGAGGCCCCGUAAUCGGAAUGAGUACACUCUAAACCCUUUAACGAGGAUCAAUUGGAGGGCAAGUCUGGUGCCAGCAGCCGCGGUAAUUCCAGCUCCAAUAGCGUAUAUUAAAGUUGUUGCGGUUAAAAAGCUCGUAGUCGAAUCUGUGUCCCGCGCCGUCGGUUCAUCGCUCGCGGUGUUCAACUGACGUGCCGCGGGACGUCCUGCCGGUGGGCUUAGCUCGUUCGCGGGCGGCCCAACUUCAAAUCCCACCGCGGUGCUCUUGACUGAGUGUCGAGGUGGGCCGGCACGUUUACUUUGAACAAAUUAGAGUGCUUAAAGCAGGCUAAAAUUUCGCCUGAAUACUGUGUGCAUGGAAUAAUGGAAUAGGACCUCGGUUCUAUUUUGUUGGUUUUCGGAACUCCGAGGUAAUGAUUAAUAGGAACGGAUGGGGGCAUUCGUAUUGCGACGUUAGAGGUGAAAUUCUUGGAUCGUCGCAAGACGGACAGAAGCGAAAGCAUUUGCCAAAAACGCUUUCAUUGAUCAAGAACGAAAGUUAGAGGUUCGAAGGCGAUCAGAUACCGCCCUAGUUCUAACCAUAAACGAUGCCAGCUAGCGAUCCGCCGACGUUCCUCCGAUGACUCGGCGGGCAGCUUCC